AUUGAACGCUGGCUGCAGGCCUAACACAUGCAAGUCGAGCGGCUGAAGGGAGCUUGCUCCUGGAUUCUGCGGCGGACGGGUGAGUAAUGCCUAGGAAUCUGCCUGGUAGUGGGGGAUAACGUCCGGAAACGGGCGCUAAUACCGCAUACGUCCUGAGGGCGAAAGUUUGGGAUCUUCUGACCUCACGCUAUCAUCUGAGCCUAGGUCGGAUUAGCUCGUUGGUGGGGUAAAGGCCUACCAAGGCGACGAUCCGUAACUGGUCUGAGAGGAUGAUCUGUCACACUGGAACUGAGACACGGUCCAGACUCCUACGGGAGGCAGCAGUGGGGAAUAUUGGACGAUGGGCGAAAGACUGAUCCAGCCAGGCCGCGUGUGUGAAGAAGGUCUGCGGAUUGUAAAGCACUUUAAGUUGGGAGGAAGGGAAGUAAGUUAAUACCUUGCGGUAUUGACGUUACCAAAAGAAAAAGCACCGGCUAACUUCGUG
rnacentral:rRNA from 1 species